GAGGAGCUCGCCAGCGGCGCAGGAUGAGAGAGGGGAGAGGAGAGACAGAGGGGGAGAGAGGGAGAGCGAGGGGCUGAGACAGAGCACAGUGGCGGCUAUCCCGUAAAUCUUCCACUCUGAUCCAAUCCUGCUAUAUGGAAGGAGAUAUUAUUGGGUUUUUUUAACUACCACAACUUGCUUCGCGGGAACACCUUCUUGAGCCCAGUAACGAGGUACAUGUGUAAACUAGCGUGUUGUCUCCUCUACCGCCCAUGUCCUGUCUCCUUCAGCGUUAGAAACUUUAUUUUCCCCCCUUUCCCCUAGCGACACACCAAGGAAGCCUCGCUGUUAUAGAAGAUGAAUAAACGAGUUGUGUUUUUUUUUCA